UGAGCUUUCGUCUCAAUUCAAAUUUAGCCACUAACAGCUUGUGAUCUGUACUAUUUUGAAAAAUUAAAAAAAAGUAAGGAAAGAAAGGUCGUCUAUCAAAUUAGGGAAUUUUCAUUGCAAGACUUAGAGUUUUAAUUAGAACAUGUCCAAUGAAAAAUUCUCCACUUAAGAGUUCUACGGGGAUUAACUCUAUAUACCCCAUGCCCCCUUAAAUGAAUUCUCAAUGCCCUCU
rnacentral:lncRNA from 1 species